AUUGAACGCUGGCGGCAGGCUUAACACAUGCAAGUCGAGCGAGAGGCGGACGUGUGAGUAAUGUCUGGGAAACUGCCUGAGGGAGAGCGAUCACUAAUGGACACGAUAACUAAUACCGCAUACCAUCAGAUGGGCCGAGAUGGGAUGAGCUAGUAGGUGGGGUAAUGGCUCACCUAGGCGACGAUCCGUAGCGGGUCUGAGAGGAGGACCAGCCACACUGGAACGGAGACACGGUCCAGACUCCUACGGGAGGCAGCAGUGGGGAAUAUGGCACAAUGGGCGCAAGCCUGAUGCAGCCAUGCCGCGUGUGUGAAGAAGGCCUUCGGGUUGUAAAGCACUUUCAGCGAGGAGGCGUUACUCGCAGAAGAAGCACCGGCUAACUCCGUGCCAGCAGCCGCGGUAAUUC
rnacentral:rRNA from 1 species